rnacentral:rRNA from 1 species
UGGCUUCCUACCUUGCACAUGCAUGCCCAACCCCAAAAAAGGGAGCAUCCUAGGUUUCCCAGUGGCGAACGGGUGAGUAAUACAUCGGAACGUGCCCAAUCGUGGGGGAUAACUUCUAGCCAAAGCUGUGCUAAUACCGCAUACGAUCUACGGAUCGAAAGCAGGGGAUCGCAAGACCUUGCGCGAAUGGAGCGGCCGAUGGCAGAUUAGGUAGUUGGUGAGGUAAAGGCUCACCAAGCCUUCGAUCUGUAGCUGGUCUGAGAGGACGACCAGCCACACUGGGACUGAGACACGGCCCAGACUCCUACGGGAGGCAGCAGUGGGGAAUUUUGGACAAUGGGCGAAAGCCUGAUCCAGCCAUGCCGCGUGCAGGAUGAAGGCCUUCGGGUUGUAAACUAGCUUUUGUACGGAACGAAACGGCUCUUUCUAAUAAAGAGGGCUAAUGACGGUACCGUAAGAAUAAGCACCGGCUAACUACGUGCCAGCAGCCGCGGUAAUACGGUAGGGUGCAAGCGUUAAUCGGAAUUACUGGGCGUAAAGCGUGCGCAGGCGGUAAUGUAAGACAGUUGUGAAAUCCCCGGGCUCA